GCCCCGGUAGCUCAGAAGGAUAGAGCAGCCGCCUCCUAAGCGGCAGGUCGCAGGUUCGAAUCCUGCCCGGGGCGCCA
rnacentral:tRNA from 1 species